AGUGGCGAACGGGUGAGUAACACGUGAGUAACCCGCCCUUGACUCUGGGAUAAGCGUUGGAAACGACGUCUAAUACCGGAUACGAGCUAGGACCGCAUGGUCACUAGCUGGAAAGAAUUUCGGUCAAGGAUGGACUCGCGGCCUAUCAGCUAGUUGGUGAGGUAACGGCUCACCAAGGCGACGACGGGUAGCCGGCCUGAGAGGGUGACCGGCCACACUGGGACUGAGACACGGCCCAGACUCCUACGGGAGGCAGCAGUGGGGAAUAUUGCACAAUGGGCGCAAGCCUGAUGCAGCAACGCCGCGUGAGGGACGACGGCCUUCGGGUUGUAAACCUCUUUUAGCAGGGAAGAAGCGCAAGUGACGGUACCUGCAGAAAAAGCACCGGCUAACUACGUGCCAGCAGCCGCGGUAAUACGUAGGGUGCAAGCGUUGUCCGGAAUUAUUGGGCGUAAAGAGCUCGUAGGCGGUCUGUCGCGUCUGCUGUGAAAACCCGAGGCUCGACCUCGGGCCUGCAGUGGGUACGGGCAGACUAGAGUGCGGUAGGGGAGAUUGGAAUUCCUGGUGUAGCGGUGGAAUGCGCAGAUAUCAGGAGGAACACCGAUGGCGAAGGCAGAUCUCUGGGCCGUAACUGACGCUGAGGAGCGAAAGCGUGGGGAGCGAACAGGAUUAGAUACCCUGGUAGUCCACGCCGUAAACG
rnacentral:rRNA from 1 species